UACGUAGGGUGCAAGCGUUAAUCGGAAUUACUGGGCGUAAAGCGUGCGCAGGCGGUUGUGCAAGACAGAUGUGAAAUCCCCGGGCUCAACCUGGGAACUGCAUUGUGACUGCACGGCUGGAGUGCGGCAGAGGGGAUGGAAUUCCGCGUGUAGCAGUGAAAUGCGUAGAUAUGCGGAGGAACACCGAUGGCGAAGGCGGAUCCUGGCCAGUACUGACGCUGAGGAGCGAAAGCCAGGAGCAACGGG
rnacentral:rRNA from 1 species